GACGAACGCUGGCGGCGUGCUUAACACAUGCAAGUCGAACGGAAAGGCCCUGCGUUUGUGGGGUGCUCGAGUGGCGAACGGGUGAGUAACACGUGAGUAACCUGCCCUUGACUUUGGGAUAACUUCACGAAACGGGGGCUAAGACCGGAUAGGAGCUCCUGCUCCAUGGUGGGCGUUGGAAAGUUGCGGCGGUUGGGGAUGGACUCGCGGCUAAUCAGCUUGCUGGUGGGGUAGUGGCUUACCAAGGCUUAGACGGGUAGCCGGCCUGGGAGGGUGGCCGGGGACCAUGCGCCUACGAGACGCAGCAGACGCGUACGGGAGGCAGCGGUGGGGAGUCUUGCACAGUGGGCGGAAGCGUGAGACGGAGGCGUCGCGUGCGUGAUGCCGGCUUUCGGGUUGUGAACCGCUUUCGCCUGUGACGAAGCGGGAGUGACGGUAACGGGUAAAGAAGCACCGGCUAACUACGUG
rnacentral:rRNA from 1 species